CCAAUCUCGUCCACUUCCAGACUUUUCUGAUCACACACUCUUCCGCUGGCUGGGAUGACCGGGGGUACGGGUGCAGCUCCUCGGAUACAGCUCCUACUAGACAGUGUGGACCCUCAAAAUGGCAAGUCCAUCCGGUUUGCCAUCGUACGUGCUGCUAUCAGACAGUCAGUUUGGCGGUGACUCAAGCCAGGGGCUAAGUCUGGCAACUGAAUUGAAAGCAAACUCCUUCAUCCAAAGAAAUGACUGAGACACAGAACACCAGGACUGUGUACAGCUGUGACUGAGCCAUGGUGGACAAAUUGCACAACCCCAAUGCUCCCUAUCUGUAAAAUACCAUCGGUACAAUUCUUCAACCAAGACUGUUGUGAGGACAUAAAAUGUAUCAUACUCUGACACUGGGCUUUCCUUGAAACAUGCUGUGUGGCAAACCCCCAUUCCAAGAAUAUGCAUGUAUCCUCCACCCCUUUUUUCCCAGUAUCAUCUGCUUUCCCCUCUUUUCACUCUUCAGGUCCUGAAGGCUCUAAUUUUUCUCCACCUGUUUUCAAAGAAUACUGUACUGAACAACCAUGUAUCUUCCAAAAUUAUGCUCAAAAUGUCAAGUCAAAUUAUUAUAUAUUGUGUGAAAAAGAUGAUGGUAAUCAAGCAAAGGUUUUUCU